rnacentral:rRNA from 1 species
AUACCGGGCCUUUUUGGGCUUGGUAAUUGGAAUGAGGGAGAGUUAAACGGACCAUCGAGUAUCCAUUGGAGGGCAAGUCUGGUGCCAGCAGCUGCGGUAAUACCAGCUCCAAUAGCGUAUAUUAAAGCUGUUGCAGUUAAAAAGCUCGUAGUUGGACUUGUGUGCGCUGUCCGCGGGUGGCCUGCGCCCAAAAGGGCGUUUCGGUUCGGCCCCGGUGGCGCCUUGAAAUCUGCAGCUGGGGGGACGUUGGCCUUAACUGGUCGGCGACCGCACGCCGGCUGCUCGGUUACUGUGAGAAAAUUAGAGUGUUCAAGGCAAGCAUUGGGUGCAAUUGAAUACAUUAGCAUGGAAUAAUAAAAUAUGGCUCCUGCCGUGUUUUGUUGGUUUUGACUGGUGGGAGUAAUGAUUGAUAGGGACGGUUGGGGGUGCUAGUAUUGAGCGGCCAGAGGUGAAAUUCAUGGAUUCGCUCAAGACUAACUUAUGCGAAAGCAUUCACCAAGGACGUCCUCUUUAAUCAAGAACGAAAGUUGGGGGAUCGAAGACGAUCAGAUACCGUCGUAGUCUCAACCAUAAACUAUGUCGACUUGGGAUCGGCGGUAGUUUUUUCAUUAAGACACUGUCGGGACCACGGGAGAAAUCAAAGUGUCUGGACUCUGGGGGAAGUAUGGUCGCAAGGCUGAAACUUGAAGGAAUUGACGGAAGGGCACCACCAGGAGUGGAGCCUGCGGCUUAAUUUGACCCAACGCGGGGAAACUUACCAGGUCCAGAGAUGUAGAGGAUUGACAGAUUGAAGCUCUUUCUUGAUCACUUCGGUGGUGGUGCAUGGCCGUUCUUAGUUGGUGGAGUGAUUUGUCUGGUUAAUUCCGUUAACGAACGAGACCUCAGCCUGCUAGUGUAGUCGGCUGGAUUGCCUUUGGCGAUCCGUGAUUUCGACUUCUUAGAGGGACAAUCGACGCGCAGUCGAUGGAAGUUUGAGGCAAUAACAGGUCUGUGAUGCCCUUAGAUGUUCUGGGCCGCACGCGCGCUACACUGCUGGGCUCAGCGAGUUUUACUUGGCCGAGAGGCCCGGUUAAUCUUGUGAAAUCCCAGCGUGCUUGGGCUCGCCUCCUGCAACUGGAGGCGCCAACGAGGAAUUCCUAGUAGACGCAGGUCAUCAACCUGCAUCGAUUACGUCCCUGCCCUUUGUACACACCGCCCGUCGUCCCAUAAGAGUGAGGCAUCCGGUGAAUUCUCGGGAGAGCCUGGGCGUGGCCAGCAAUGGUCUGCUCGGGUUUGAACUUGCAUAAACUUGGUGCCUAUGAUUAGGG